rnacentral:rRNA from 1 species
GAUGAACGCUAGCGGCAGGCUUAAUACAUGCAAGUCAAGGGGUCAGCAAUGGCACCGGCGGACGGGUGAGUAACGCGUACACAACGUACCUUUAACUGGGGGAUAGCAUCUGGAAACGGGUGGUAAUACCGCAUGUGGUUGCGAGGAGGCAUCUCUUUGUAACUAAAACUUAGGUGGUUAGAGAUCGGUGUGCGUCUGAUUAGCUAGUUGGUAGGGUAGAGGCCUACCAAGGCGACGAUCAGUAGGGGGCGUGAGAGCGUGAACCCCCACACGGGUACUGAGACACGGACCCGACUCCUACGGGAGGCAGCAGUGGGGAAUAUUGCGCAAUGGGGGAAACCCUGACGCAGCGACGCCGCGUGAGGGACGAAGGUCUUCGGAUUGUAAACCUCUUUCAGCAGGGAUGAAGCGAAAGUGACAGUACCUGCAGAAGAAGCACCGGCUAACUACGUG